CCUACGGGAGGCAGCAGUGAGGAACAUUGGUCAAUGGCCGGAAGGCUGAACCAGCCAAGCCGCGUGAAGGACGAAGGUGCCAAGCAUUGUAAACUUCUUUUGUCAAGGGACAAAAUCAGGCUCGAGAGCCUGACCGAGGGUACUUGAAGAAAAAGCAUCGGCUAACUCCGUGCCAGCAGCCGCGGUAAUACGGAGGAUGCGAGCGUUAUCCGGAUUUAUUGGGUUUAAAGGGUGCGUAGGCGGGCUGUUAAGUCAGCGGUAAAAGCCCGGGGCUCAACCCCGGCGAGCCGUUGAAACUGGCUGCCUUGAGAUGUCGAGAGGUAUGCGGAAUGCGCAGUGUAGCGUUGAAAUGCUUAGAUAGUGCGCAGAACUCCGAUUGCGAAGGCAGCAUACCGGCGGCGAUCUGACGCUGAUGCACGAAAGCGUGGGUAUCAAACAGGAUUAGAUACCCUUGUAGUC
rnacentral:rRNA from 1 species